ACAGUCCUCUAAGGGCGUUGACGUCAUAGCGAGCUAUGAUGACGGCCGGUGCAUUAGCAUACAAGCGGCUCCCUCUGUGCACUCAGCCGCGGCGCGCUGCGGGGAGGCGGGUGAGGGCGGAGGAGAGGAUUCUCCCGUGAUGACGCAGAAACCCUGCAAUUUCUAUUUUUAAACCUAUUCAAGUGUGCAACACCCUUUCGGUACAGCAGCCUUCAACUGCGCCUUCAGACCAAAACAAACAAGAGAGCGAGAGGGAGGAAAAGAGGGGGGCGGGAUGGAAUGGCAACAACCAAAAAUCACUUCUCUGUCUAAUCCUUCCUACAAGCUUCUCUCCUCCCCGUGAGGCCCACGGGAAUUCAUUUGCCACGCCAGGGAUUUGGAGCAAUUUAUUUGCUACAGCAAUCUGAGUUUUCUACUCAGAAUCUCCUGCUCCUUCUGAAACGCCACCUUCAAGAAGACAUCACAACAUGGCUCCUCUAUUAAC